UACAGAGGUCUCAAGCGUUGUUCGGAUUCAUUGGGCGUAAAGGGUGCGUAGGUGGCGCCGUAAGUCAGGUGUGAAAUUUCGGAGCUUAACUCCGAAACUGCAUUUGAUACUGCGGUGCUUGAGGACUGGAGAGGAGACUGGAAUUUACGGUGUAGCAGUGAAAUGCGUAGAGAUCGUAAGGAAGACCAGUGGCGAAGGCGGGUCUCUGGACAGCAUCUGACACUGAGGCACGAAGGCCAGGGGAGCAAACGGG
rnacentral:rRNA from 1 species